AUAUUAAUUGUCUGUUUUACAGUGUGAUCCUGGAGAGUGACCCACAACAGGUGGUUCACCGUGUUGCUCUGAGGGGCGAUGACGUGCCUCUGACAGAACAGACAGUCACUCAGGUGCUACAGUCAGCUAAGGAGCAGAUCAAAUGGUCACUGCUCCGAUAGGACACUUUUGAUCCCAUUCCUGAACUGAGACGAGGAGAACAAAUACAAUGUAACCACUUUUCAUCUCUACUGUCCUAUCUGUCCUUUUUUCCUUGAGUGUUUCUUGACUGUUAAAGUGCACAUCCAUGACUAGUGUCUCUCUCACUCGAAGAUAAGACCAGGAACAUGAGCAUUUCAAAAGAAUGUCAAGGCAAAAGGAAGAAGCUGGGAUAUUGUCUUGGCGGGACUUUCUUUUUUAGGGAAAAGUACCGGGGUGUUCCAGUAAGCGCUUGAGUAUAUGGCUGGUUUGUGAAUGAUAUCACUGUUGUACUGCGAGAUAUUCAUUACGAUUCAUGUACAUUCCAGUGGUUGAUCUUGUUCUCUGUUCUUGUUUUGAUUGAAGUAAAGAAACAGUUUCAUCCUA